rnacentral:pre_miRNA from 1 species
GUAGUACUCCCUCCGUCCGAAAAUACUUGUCAUCAAAAUAGAUAAAAAGGGAUAUAUCUAGAACUAAAAUACAUCUAGAUACAUCCCUUUUUAUUCAUUUUGAUGACAAGUAUUUCCGGACGGAGGGAGUACUAA